ACAGUUUAUAGUGGGUAUUAUGCAUACUGGGUUUCCAGUAAUGAGGUAGAGGACAUGAAUUUAAGAGGACUAUGACCUAGUAACCCACAUAUUAGAGGUUAAGGUUACACUCAGAAUGGAGUUAUAUGAACUUAUAACUGAGAAUGGAGUUAUAUGAAUGGAAAAUGAACAUAUAAUGAAGGGGUUAGUCACCUCGAUUAUCAGUAUAUCAUAUUACACUGAUAAUCUGUAAAUGGGUGGUAGCCAUAGGAGUCCAGCGCAUCUCAGUUUAGUGACUUGAGAGGCAAGAGUGGAAAUGUGUCAUAAUUAAGAGAACUUAAUCUUUGCCCGCAUAUCAUACUUUGAAGGAAAACUGGUAGGGGUGGCAAAAAGGGAGACAGUGGCCAUACAGACCCUAGGAGAGGAGGAGACAGAACAAGAAUCAGGCUGCAUAUCCACCUCUAGCAGGCCUUGCCCAGAGACCAGUGUCACCAGCCCUAGCGACCAUGCACUGAUCGCUCUUGCUCUGGCUGUUCUUGCUUAUCCAGCAGCUGGACUUUCGGAGUAGAUUUGUCCAUAACGGGAUAAGGUAUAGCAGAAGAUCCCAGAAUUUUUUUUUUUUUUUUUUUUUUUUUGCAUUAAGUUCCAAUUGUGUUUGUAAAGGAGCAUUAAGGUCUAAGAUUGCCAAUUCCCUGAGCCUGAUCAACCCUGGAUGCAUCCACACAAUUGCAUUCCUGGACAUACAGACCUGGGGAGCAUGUCCUGAAGAGUCCACCAAGAUGAGGCUACUCCAUAUUGCAGGGCAUGGGGGGAUCGGAGAGACUAAAGCUCCUUAAAGAUUUACUAUGCACCAGGUGCUCUCCACGCAUGUAUAGGAGAGUUCUGUCUGUGAUUUUCUCAGAGUUUAUUUUUUAUUCAACAAUCAUUUAUUUAAGUGCUUCUUACGGGCCAGGCACUGUGCCAGAUGGUGAGUGUAUUAGGCCAUUCUUGCGUUGCUAUGAAGAAAUACCUGAGACUGGGUACUUUAUAAGAAAAGAGGCUUAAUUGGCUUGCAGUUUUGCAGGCAGUACAGGAAGCAGGGUACCAGCAUCUGCUUCUGGGGAGGCCUCAGGAAACUUCCAAUCAUGGCAGAAGGCAAAGGAAAGCUACUGGAGGAUGUGCUUCAGCAAAACAAGGAAUUAAACUAAGAAAGACAGCAAUAUGGCAUUCAAUAAAUGAGAUUAAACACAGAAAACGGAUGAUGAGAAAAGCCUGGGAUGUCAAAUAUACUCCCGGGUAAAGAAAGUAACCAACCCAGCCUGAAACCAGAAGAUGUGCUCCAGGAGUGAUGUCUCCAGAGGAAAAUGAAAUCAACUGAUCAUUAGCUAUGUUUGGAUAUAUUGAGUAAAUGUUCAGUUAUAUUGGAA